UAUUUACUGAACUCUGUCUCUGGUUAUAAGAGAGGAUGGUCCAACUAUAUGAGUUUGAGCCCCAAGGGCUGAAUGGAUACAGAGUCUUGACUCCACUCUGAAUGCAUAAAGGGAUAAUCUCUCUGGGUAUGUAUGUGCUACAUCCCCUGUACGUCAAGUGCCCAACCAUUCCUGCUCUCUGGAGAUAGAGGUCCCAAAAGACAUAAUGAGGAGGAGUCCCUGGAGCAGCUUCACCACUGCAUUUCCAGGUUUGGAAGUGGAGUCAUUAACUGGCUGGUGCAGGGUUUUGAGAAAAUGGUACCUCAGCCAGAGAAAAAGCCUGAGGUCUGUACUCAGCAGCCUGUUGUAUAUCAACCUGCAAACAGCUGUCAGGAAGCAAAGGAAAAGAAGCCUGAGGAGACUGCCAAAAUAGAAGAACCAAAGCUGGAGCCUAAACUGGAACCGAAGCCGGAGCCUCCACCAAAAGAGAGUGCCAGUGAAUCUCUAACUACACAAGAGGCAACUGCAGCUAGCCAGCUGGGGCUUGGAGUCUCUUUUUUCCCUUGGGCUUUAGGUGGUGAUGGUAGCAGGAUGUUUGACUGGUUUGUUCAGGAACUGGAGAAGAUGGUUCCACAGCCUGUGAUCAAGCAGGCUGAUUCGGAAGGAGAAGUGGUAACUGCGUGCCCAGUGGAGGAGAUUUGUAUCUUCCCCGAGGAGCAGGGAGAGACCAAACUUGUCAUUGAAGACACUGAAUCCAAUGAAGUUCUAGAAGAGGUGAAACCUUGUGACACUGAGAUGGAACUUAAACUGUCUUCUGCUCCUCUCCCUUCAAUAGAAGAGGAAACUCAGGAGGAAGAAGAGAGGUAAGAAGAGAAAGCUCAUACUGGAAAAGCCACCUUGUAUGUCAGAUCCUAUAUUAUAAGGAAUCAAGCCC
rnacentral:lncRNA from 1 species